CAGUCAUACCAACGGGAAAUCAACCUCUUGAGUUUGGUCUUGUGAGUUUCGAAGAGUUUUUAAAAGCCUUCGGAUUUGCGAGGAUUGGGCUCUUCUGGUGUACUUUCUCGUACGGUUAGUCAACAUCGGUUUUGAAUGUCAUAAAAUGACUGGAGGAAUGUGGCUUCGAUCUCGUAUUGAAGUGUUAUAGCCUUUGGUAGAUGUGAUGUUUGAGACCGAGGAUUGCAACGGAUACCCUUCUGGGCUACUCGUCUGAUCUCUGAUACGUUGCCUUGACGUUGAAAGCUUGCUUAUGAUGUUAGGGUAUUACGGUCAAAAGGUUAGAACGGAUUAAA
rnacentral:rRNA from 1 species